GAUCAUGGCUCAGGAUGAACGCUAGCUACAGGCUUAACACAUGCAAGUCGAGGGGAAACGACAUCGAAAGCUUGCUUCCGAUGGGCGUCGACCGGCGCACGGGUGAGUAACGCGUAUCCAACCUGCCCACCACUUGGGGGAUAACCCUUGCGAAAGUAAGACUAAUACCCAAUGAUAUCUCUAGAAGACAUCUGAAAGAGAUUAAAGAUUUAUCGGUGAUGGAUGGGAUGCGU
rnacentral:rRNA from 1 species